CUUUGAUGAUUUGGUGACAGUACCCAGUAGGAGACUCAGAUGAAGUCAUGUGGAUGUGCUUGACAUGAAUGACUAGGAUCCCUCAGGUUGAAGAGGAGCCUUAGAAGGAUGGUGUUGGUAAAGUUUUCUUCAACAAUGUGGAGUAGAGCAUUUACAACCUUUUAGGAAUUGAUGGGAGCAACUGAAAAAUGCAAUGCUGAUGGAUGUUGGUCCUCCCAAGAUGUGGAAAUAAGCAGCCACAGCCAGACAGGAAUGAAUGAAAAAUAAAACUUGAAGAAGCAAACUGGAAUUGGUGGAAACAACUGGAAAAGACAUGACUGAUAGACCUUGACUCUUUAAGAUAUGGAAAUGGGCAGCUAUAGCCAGACAAGAUUUGGUCGAAAAACCUAGAAAAGGCGAGACUGAUGGAUGUUGACCCUUCGGAAUGUGGAAAUGAGCAGUUACAGCCAGACAAUAUUGGUGGAAACAACUAGAAAAGACAAGACUGAUGGAUGAUGACCUUCCCGACAGCAAGACAUAUCAUAAUGGAUAACUGUCACUGAUCAGUAAUCUUUGAUGUUUUGGUGACAGUACCCUGUAGGAGACUCAGAUAAAGUCAUGUGGAUGUGCUUGACAUUAUGAAUGACAAGGAGC